GGCUGGGUGGCAUAGUUGGUUUGGCGCUGGCCUUGGACGUCAAAAUUUGCUGGUUCAACCCCGGCCCAAGUUG